AUACGGAGGGGACUAGCGUUGUUCGGAAUUACUGGGCGUAAAGCGUACGUAGGCGGAUCAGAAAGUAUGGGGUGAAAUCCCAGGGCUCAACCCUGGAACUGCCUCAUAAACUCCUGGUCUUGAGUUCGAGAGAGGUGAGUGGAAUUCCGAGCGUAGAGGUGAAAUUCGUAGAUAUUCGGAGGAACACCAGUGGCGAAGGCGGCUCACUGGCUCGAUACUGACGCUGAGGUACGAAAGUGUGGGGAGCAAACAGGAUUAGAAACCCUAGUAGUCC
rnacentral:rRNA from 1 species